rnacentral:rRNA from 1 species
GUACAAGCCAUCCUAAGGCGAAACCGCGAAUGGCUCAUUAAAUCAGUCAUGAUUCAUUGGAUGUUGGGUAAAAAAAUUUCCAACGAAAAUUUUUUACUCGGAUAACUGUGGUAAUUCUAGAGCUAAUACAGGCAACUGAGCUCCGACCCCCUCUCGUCGUCCGGCUUCGUUCGGCGCGGGAAGGGGGGAAGGGCGCUUUUAUUAGAUUCAAAGACCGAUAGAUGGCGACGACUCCGGUCUCGCCGAUCCUAAACAAAAUGGUCGAUGAUGACUCUGAAUAACCAUAGCCGAGCGCUGAGGUCCCAGUACCGGCGCCGUAUCCUUCGAGUGUCUGCCUUAUCAGCUUUCGAUUGUAGGCUAUACGCCUACAAUGGCUGUAACGGGUAACGGGGAAUCAGGGUUCGAUUCCGGAGAGGGAGCCUGAGAAACGGCUACCACAUCUAAGGAAGGCAGCAGGCACGCAAAUUACCCACUCCCGGCACGGGGAGGUAGUGACGAAAAAUAACGAUGCGGGACUCUUCCGAGGCCUCGCAAUCGGAAUGAGUUCGCUUUAAAUCCGCGAACGAGGAUCCAUUGGAGGGCAAGUCUGGUGCCAGCAGCCGCGGUAAUUCCAGCUCCAAUAGCGUAUAUUAAUUUUGCUGCGGUUAAAAAGCUCGUAGUUCGACUUCUCUAUUCGGUCCGGGGGGGCUUCGUCCCCGGACGCGGUCGAGUCGCUUCCGCGGUGUCGAUCCGUCGCUUCUCUCGCGCGCGGAUGGGCGUUUCGAUGUCGUCGUUCGCGUCGUCCGUCGUCGUCGUCGUCGUUUUCGCUUAUUCUCGCAUUCCGUUUUUGCGUCUUAGGGGGCCUGCAUCGCGUAUAUUCGUUAUACGCGAGGUAGUAUCCUCCGAGGAAAUGCGGACGGUUUCGUUUUCACGGCGUUUACGUACGCUCGUACGCGCGUGCGCGCGCUCGUUCGCUCGUUCGUCCCCUCCGCCGGGGUUGCCGGCGCGCCCGCGCGGAGUCUCGUCACCCGCGUUCGAAGGCAGCCUUCCCUCGGCUCCCGAAUUACCCAAGUCCCGUCGGUACUCACGGGGUGCUCUUCACCGAGUGCCCCGCGUGGCCGACAAUUACACUGUGAAUAAAUCAGAGUGCUCAAAGCAGGCUAUUAAGAAUAACGCCUGAAUGGUGGUGCAUGGUAUGUUAGAAAAGGACCUCGGUUCUGUUAUAAUUUUCUGUCUAUCGGUCUUUUAAAGACCCGAGGUAAUGAUUAAUGGAAGCGGACGGGGGCAUUAGUAUUGCGGCGCUAGAGGUGAAAUUCUUGGACCGUCGCAAGACUAACUACUGCGAAAGCAAUUGCCAAGAACGCUUUCAUUAAUCAAGAACGAAAGUUAGAGGAUCGAAGGCGAUCAGAUACCGCCCUAGUUCUAACUGUAAACGAUGCUAACUGGCGAUCCGCCGGAGUCGCAUUAAAAGAGACUCUGCGGGAAGCCCCCGGGAAACCAAAGUUUUUGAGUUCCGGGGGAAGUAUGGUUGCAAAGCUGAAACUUAAAGGAAUUGACGGAAGGGCACCACCAGGAGUGGAGCCUGCGGCUUAAUUUGACUCAACACGGGGAAACUCACCAGGUCCGGGCACCGGAAGGAUUGACAGAUUGAGGGCUCUUUCUCGAUUCGGUGGAUGGUGGUGCAUGGCCGUUCUUAGUUGGUGGAGUGAUCUGUCUGGUUUAUUCCGAUAACGAACGAGACUCUAACCUGCUAACUAGUCGGCGGAUCGCAUCCCCGCGACCCGUGUCCGCGUUCUCUCUCGGGGUCGGAGCGGAGUUUUCGUUGGAAGGCGACGGUACGUCGCGCGCGCGAUCGGAUGCGGCGGCGGAGGCGUCGGGGUUGAAGUCCGGGUGUGGCGGUCUCCUAGCUUUUAAAAAAGCUAGGUUGCUUCUCUCCCUCUUCCUCUACCGGCGUCGCUUUCGUCCUUCGUCGUCGUCGUCGGCUGCCUCGUCUCUCCUCGGCUUCCUCUCCCCGCACGGGAGGCCGGCUCGGCCGGGGACGUCCGUCGCAGCUUCUUCUUAGAGGGAUAAGCGGCGUCUAGCCGCACGAGAAAGAGCAAUAACAGGUCUGUGAUGCCCUUAGAUGUUCUGGGCCGCACGCGCGCUACAAUGAAGGGACCAGCGCGCUAUCCCCCUCCGAAAGGAGUGGGUAACCGAAUGAAACCCCUUCCCGAUAGGGAUUGGGGAUUGCAAUUGUUUCCCAUGAACGAGGAAUUCCCAGUAAGCGCGAGUCAUCAGCUCGCGUUGAUUACGUCCCUGCCCUUUGUACACA